UACUCCUACGGGAGGCAGCAGUAGGGAAUCUUCCACAAUGGACGAAAGUCUGAUGGAGCAACGCCGCGUGAGUGAAGAAGGGUUUCGGCUCGUAAAACUCUGUUGUUAAAGAAGAACAUAUCUGAGAGUAACUGUUCAGGUAUUGACGGUAUUUAACCAGAAAGCCACGGCUAACUACGUGCCAGCAGCCGCGGUAAUA
rnacentral:rRNA from 2 species